AGGGUUCGAUUCUGGCUCAGGAUGAACGCUAGCGACAGGCUUAACACAUGCAAGUCGAGGGGCAGCAUAAAAGUAGCAAUACUUUGGUGGCGACCGGCGCACGGGUGAGUAACGCGUAUGCAACCUACCUAUCAGGAGGGGAAUAACCCGGCGAAAGUCGGACUAAUACCGCAUAAAACAGGGGCACCGCAUGGUGAUAUUUGUUAAAGAAAUUCGCUGAUAGAUGGGCAUGCGUUCCAUUAGGUAGUUGGUGAGGUAACGGCUCACCAAGCCGACGAUGGAUAGGGGAACUGAGAGGUUGGUCCCCCACACUGGUACUGAGACACGGACCAGACUCCUACGGGAGGCAGCAGUGAGGAAUAUUGGUCAAUGGGCGAGAGCCUGAACCAGCCAAGUCGCGUGAAGGAAGAAGGAUCUAUGGUUCGUAAACUUCUUUUGCAGGGGAAUAAAGUGCAGGACGUGUCCUGUUUUGUAUGUACCCUGAGAAUAAGGAUCGGCUAACUCCGUGCCAGCCGCGGC
rnacentral:rRNA from 1 species